rnacentral:tRNA from 1 species
GGCGUGGUGGCAGAGUGGCUAUGCGAUCGCCUGCAGAGCGGUUUUACGUCGGUUCGAAUCCGGUCCACGCCU